rnacentral:rRNA from 1 species
UACGGAGGGUGCAAGCGUUAAUCGGAAUUACUGGGCGUAAAGAGUACGUAGGCGGCUUUACAAGUCGGGUGUGAAAGCCCUGAGCUUAACUCAGGAACUGCAUUCGAUACUGUAUCGCUAGAGUUUAUUAGAGGAUAGCGGAAUUCCAGGUGUAGCGGUGAAAUGCGUUGAUAUCAUACGGAACACCAAGGGGGAAGCCAGCUACCUGGGAUUUACCUGACGCUGAGAGACGAAAGCGUGGGGAGCGAAACGG